UACGAAGGGGGCUAGCGUUGCUCGGAAUCACUGGGCGUAAAGGGUGCGUAGGCGGGUCUUUUAAGUCAGGGGUGAAAUCCUGGAGCUCAACUCCAGAACUGCCUUUGAUACUGAGGAGCUUGAGUCCGGGAGAGGUGAGUGGAACUGCGAGUGUAGAGGUGAAAUUCGUAGAUAUUCGCAAGAACACCAGUGGCGAAGGCGGCUCACUGGCCCGGUACUGACGCUGAGGCGCGAAAGCGUGGGGAGCAAACAGG
rnacentral:rRNA from 1 species